rnacentral:rRNA from 1 species
ACGGGGCCCGCACGAGCGGUGGAGCAUGUGGUUUAAUUCGAAGCAACGCGAAGAACCUUACCAGGUCUUGACAUCCCCUGACAACCCGAGAGAUCGGGCGUUCCCCUUCGGGGGACAGGGUGACAGGUGGUGCAUGGUUGUCGUCAGCUCGUGUCGUGAGAUGUUGGGUUAAGUCCCGCAACGAGCGCAACCCUUGUCAUUAGUUGCUACAUUCAGUUGGGCACUCUAAUGAGACUGCCGGUGACAAACCGGAGGAAGGUGGGGAUGACGUCAAGUCCUCAUGGCCCUUAUAGGUGGGGCUACCCACGUCAUACAAUGGCCGGUACAAAGGGUCGCAAACCCGCGAGGGGGAGCCAAUCCAUCAAAGCCGGUCGUAGUCCGGAUCGCAGUCUGCAACUCGACUGCGUGAAGUCGGAAUCGCUAGUAAUCGUGGAUCAGCAUGUCACGGUGAAUACGUUCCCGGGUCUU